CCUAGUGCGAUUGUAGUUGAGCCUUGCCAUUUAUGCAAGUGUCAAUUCUCAGUGGGGACAGACAUUUGAUAAUUCUUUGUCUCGUUCUUAACUAGGAAUGCCUUGUACGGGUCUUGGUUCAACAGACCACCCGGAAUACGUCCCUGCCCUUUGUAMACACCGCCCGUCGCUCUUACCGAUGAAUUUCCCUGNGAGU
rnacentral:rRNA from 1 species